rnacentral:misc_RNA from 1 species
AGGGGGUUUUAUUAACUCAUGCCCUUGGAACUCAGAAAUGGAUUUCCUGUUCCUUGUAUUGAAAAUAUUUUUGACUUUCAAAAGUCACUAGUUUUGAAAGUAAUCUUUCCCUUUUUUUUUCCUCUUCUUCUUCCUAUGUUAAACCAAGACUACUAGAAUUACAAUUUUGACACCUCCAUUCAUCAAUGUGCCAUACCAAUGCUUAAAGCAGUAUUGCUUUAUAGGCUGUGAUUUCUU